rnacentral:lncRNA from 1 species
GGACCUUUCUUGGGUACCCGUGGAAAAAAGUAGGGUACUGUUGUAUUUUGCAGAAAUGCUUUGUAGAACUGAAGGUGGUCUCUAAUGCGUUUUCACCAGUGUUGUCUCCUUAGGCAAUGAAGACCACCUCCAAACCGACCAGCGUGGAGUUUUUGUGUGGGCUUCAGAUGUGGCCCUUGUCACUCUGGAAUUCCUGGAUCAGCCGAAAAAAUGGAAGAUUCAAGAGGUCCUCGUAACAGACAGAAAAGGAGGGGUUUGUGGGAUGAGGCGCAGGCAUGAAAGACACUGGUGGGAGACAAAAACGACAACUGGAUUACAGCUGCCUGCUGGGCAAAUUGCUGGCUGAAAGGACGUCGCUGCAUAUACAGAUGCCUCAGCAUCUACAGUCGCUGUAUGCUACAAAAGGG